AUUGAACGCUGGCGGCAGGCCUAACACAUGCAAGUCGAACGGUAACAGGAAACAGCUUGCUGUUUCGCUGACGAGUGGCGGACGGGUGAGUAAUGUCUGGGAAACUGCCUGAUGGAGGGGGAUAACUACUGGAAACGGUAGCUAAUACCGCAUAACGUCGCAAGACCAAAGAGGGGGACCUUCGGGCGUCUUGCCAUCGGAUGUGCCCAGAUGGGAUUAGCUAGUAGGUGGGGUAACGGCUCACCUAGGCGACGAUCCCUAGCUGGUCUGAGAGGAUGACCAGCCACACUGGAACUGAGACACGGUCCAGACUCCUACGGGAGGCAGCAGUGGGGAAUAUUGCACAAUGGGCGCAAGCCUGAUGCAGCCAUGCCGCGUGUAUGAAGAAGGCCUUCGGGUUGUAAAGUACUUUCAGCGGGGAGGAAGGGAGUAAAGUUAAUACCUUUACUCAUUGACGUUACCCGCAGAAGAAGCACCGGCUAACUCCGUG
rnacentral:rRNA from 1 species